rnacentral:rRNA from 1 species
AGAGUUUGAUCAUGGCUCAGAUUGAACGCUGGCGGCAGGCCUAACACAUGCAAGUCGAGCGGUAACAGGGGAAGCUUGCUUCUCGCUGACGAGCGGCGGACGGGUGAGUAAUGUCUGGGAAACUGCCUGAUGGAGGGGGAUAACUACUGGAAACGGUAGCUAAUACCGCAUAACGUCGCAAGACCAAAGUGGGGGACCUUCGGGCCUCAUGCCAUCAGAUGUGCCCAGAUGGGAUUAGCUAGUAGGUGGGGUAACGGCUCACCUAGGCGACGAUCCCUAGCUGGUCUGAGAGGAUGACCAGCCACACUGGAACUGAGACACGGUCCAGACUCCUACGGGAGGCAGCAGUGGGGAAUAUUGCACAAUGGGCGCAAGCCUGAUGCAGCCAUGCCGCGUGUGUGAAGAAGGCCUUCGGGUUGUAAAGCACUUUCAGCGGGGAGGAAGGCAUUAAGGUUAAUAACCUUAGUGAUUGACGUUACCCGCAGAAGAAGCACCGGCUAACUCCGUGCCAGCAGCCGCGGUAAUUC